GACGAACGCUGGCGGCGUGCCUAAUACAUGCAAGUAGAACGCUGAAGGAGGAGCUUGCUUCUCUGGAUGAGUUGCGAACGGGUGAGUAACGCGUAGGUAACCUGCCUGGUAGCGGGGGAUAACUAUUGGAAACGAUAGCUAAUACCGCAUAAGAGUAGAUGUUGCAUGACAUUUGCUUAAAAGGUGCAAUUGCAUCACUACCAGAUGGACCUGCGUUGUAUUAGCUAGUUGGUGGGGUAACGGCUCACCAAGGCGACGAUACAUAGCCGACCUGAGAGGGGGAUCGGCCACCCUGGGACUGAGACACGGCCCAGACUCCUACGGGAGGCAGCAGUAGGGAAUCUUCGGCAAUGGACGGAAGUCUGACCGAGCAACGCCGCGUGAGUGAAGAAGGUUUUCGGAUCGUAAAGCUCGGUUGUAAGAGAAGAACGAGUGUGAGAGUGGAAAGUUCACACUGUGACGGUAUCUUACCAGAAAGGGACGGCUAACUACGUG
rnacentral:rRNA from 1 species